rnacentral:misc_RNA from 1 species
GAUGAAGAACGUAGCGAAAUGCGAUAAGUAAUGUGAAUUGCAGAAUUCAGUGAAUCAUCGAAUCUUUGAACGCACCUUGCGCCCUUUGGCCAUUCCGAAGGGCAUGCCUGUUUGAGUAUCAUGAACACCUCAACUCUUUAUGGUUUUCCAUGAUGAGCUUGGAUUCUGGGGGUUUUGCUGGCUCACAGUCGGCUCCUCUAAAAUGAAUCAGCUUACCAGUGUUUGGUGGGUAUCAUGGGUGUGAUAACUAUCUACGCUUGUGGUUUUUCCACCAGGUAACCUUCAGCAGUGGAGGUUCGCUGGAGCUCAUAGAUGUCUCUCCUCAGUGAGGACAGCCCUUUGAAUGUUUGAUCUCAAAUCAGGUAGGACUACCCGCUGAACUUAAGCAUAUCAAUAAGCGGAGGA